ensembl:lincRNA
CUAGACUGUAAGCUCUUUUAAAGAAGGAACUGCCUUAAUAAUACAUGUUCCGCAAUGCCAGGGAUCACAAAAUAGGUAUACAUGUUUAAUGAAGAAAUGAAAGGAGAAAAAUGCUCAAACCAUACUGUGAUCUACCACUCUCCCUCAGUCAGUGGUUUUCUGUGUUUUUACGUAGCCUACCUAACUACCUUCAAUGACUGCAACUGUGCACUUCUCUUCGAUACAUAUCAACUAACCAUCCCCUCGUGUCGCCAUCUGAGUUGUUUCCGCUCUGCUGGAAUUCUCUGGCCUUAUUCCGCUGCUGCCUCUUGCCAACCUGUCACUACCGUAGGAGAGACUCAAAGUCUUGGGCCACAGUGGACCAAGGCAAGAAGGAAACUAGUAGGGCACUGCUCUCAGCCAGUCUGGAAUCCUCCCUCUGAAGCCUGGCCACCUGACCUGCUUGUCCACUCUAAUGACAAGGUUUCCGCCCUACGCUCCAGCUCUGGACAUUUGGAAGGUCUUUUUUGCACUGCGUCAAAAUCUGUCACCCUGCUUCCCUUGCUAGUCACUCGGUCUGUGGGAAUCAGAGGCAACUAGGAUUCCUCUCUAAGGGAAGCCCCAGAACUAAGCCCAGGGCUCCGCCCACAAGGACCAGGAUGAUGAACGCCUCCUCCUGGUGUCUGGCUGCAAUUCUUUUACUGGUUCAUUCACAAAUGAUUUUAAGAAUCUGUAUUUUUGUGAAGGGGUCCUGAGAGAGAACUGGUUUUUGUGUGACUCACCUUGAGCUUGCAGAGGACUGCAAGUGGGGUGAGCAGAUAGUAAUACCGGAGGCUCUGCAGUCCACGGGGCAGACUGCAACCCCUCCACACCACAGAUGUGAGGUGACGGCUGCUUCAGACCAAAUGGAAGACUCGACUUACAAAAACUGACCACAGGCUGAAUUUGAACUAUGACUCACAGUUUUCCUACUUCUGAACCAAAACAUCUAUUUUUCCACCUCUCACCCACUCCCCGUCGCGCUUAUGAAGUUGGUCAGGUUGGUGGUUUUGCUUGUUUGGUUUUUUAAGCAUUUAUCUUUUUCAAAUUUGUGCUGGACUUCGCCUGUUCCUCUCCCCUACCAAGAUCUUUCUGAGCCCCGAUGCUGCCACCGUCCAACCUAACCUCUGUGUCUCUGAAGUUUGUGCCAUCUGCCCAUGAUAGAUGGCCUUGGCAUAUGUCCAUCCAAGUGACUGAUUAAAAUUGUAAACUGGAAAGAUCUGAGGACAGAGCCUUGAAGUGUGCAACAAGCAGCCUCUCCCCCGUCGAUUCUGCUGUUUUCUUCAGGAUCCAGCCCGUGUCACUGGCAGGAAGCCCUCCUACAAGCCCCCUGGCCACCCCAGCAGACCGGCCAGGCUGAGGUCCGCAGCACCUCCGGUGCACUCUCCCCUGGCACCACCAGCACUCUGGCCUGGUGUCUCCUCCCCUGGACUGCACCGCAGGUGUUCGAUCAGUGUAGGCAGAAUGAAUGAACGUGUGACAUUAACCCUCCCUCUGGCAAAUUGUUCCAUGUCCCAAAUGCCAGAGUCUAAAACUCCAAUGCCUUCCAGGGCCAGAAAAGUAAUUUAAUUGUGUAAAGCUAUUUGGUGUGGAUCAAAUAGCUGCGUCCUCCUAAGUACUUCUUUCCCUUGCUUUCCUCGGAGCACCAUGGAGGUGACCGGAAUUUAAUAAUCUGGCUGGAGAUAAGAACUGCGAGAGCAGCCCAGUGCACCGUAUCUUCCCAGAUUACCUGUGCGGUUCUCUUUCAGAAGAUUGUCUAAUGUCCUUAUCACGCAGGGCCAAGAAUUAUGGCAAUUUCAGGUGCUGUAGGGGAGACAUUUUGGAAAAACAGUAUGAACACUUUAUUCAUCGGACUGAAAUUAUACUGCGCUGGGCACCUCUUAUUAGGCCUUUAUAUAAGCAAAGCCUGAACACGGAUUCUUUGAAGAACACACAUCCAUGUUUGUGUUUUUGACACAAACACAAACAAGAUGACAGAGAAUAUUGACAGACACCAUCUGUGCCCUGUGAAGUGCCUCCAGGCCUGUCCCCAGAGUUGCAAACAAAGCAACUGAUACCUUCACCUUUAAAACCAAUGUCAAGCCGGGCAUGGUGGUGCACACCUACAAUCCCAGCACUUGGGGAGGCUGAAGUAGGAGGAUUGUUACAAGUUCGAGACUAGCCUGGGCUA